AGAUUGGAAUUCCUGGUGUAGCGGUGGAAUGCGCAGAUAUCAGGAGGAACACCGAUGGCGAAGGCAGAUCUCUGGGCCGUAACUGACGCUGAGGAGCGAAAGGGUGGGGAGCAAACAGGCUUAGAUACCCUGGUAGUCCACCCCGUAAACGUUGGGAACUAGUUGUGGGGUCCAUUCCACGGAUUCCGUGACGCAGCUAACGCAUUAAGUUCCCCGCCUGGGGAGUACGGCCGCAAGGCUAAAACUCAAAGGAAUUGACGGGGACCCGCACAAGCGGCGGAGCAUGCGGAUUAAUUCGAUGCAACGCGAAGAACCUUACCAAGGCUUGACAUAUACGAGAACGGGCCAGAAAUGGUCAACUCUUUGGACACUCGUAAACAGGUGGUGCAUGGUUGUCGUCAGCUCGUGUCGUGAGAUGUUGGGUUAAGUCCCGCAACGAGCGCAACCCUCGUUCUAUGUUGCCAGCACGUAAUGGUGGGAACUCAUGGGAUACUGCCGGGGUCAACUCGGAGGAAGGUGGGGAUGACGUCAAAUCAUCAUGCCCCUUAUGUCUUGGGCUUCACGCAUGCUACAAUGGCCGGUACAAAGGGCUGCAAUACCGUGAGGUGGAGCGAAUCCCAAAAAGCCGGUCCCAGUUCGGAUUGAGGUCUGCAACUCGACCUCAUGAAGUCGGAGUCGCUAGUAAUCGCAGAUCAGCAACGCUGCGGUGAAUACGUUCCCGGGUCUUGUACACACCGCCCGUCAAGUCAUGAAAGUCGGUAACACCUGAAGCCGGUGGCCUAACCCUUGUGGAGGGAGCCGUCGAAUAUUGAUCGAUUUGG
rnacentral:rRNA from 1 species